rnacentral:tRNA from 1 species
UCCCUGGUGGCUCAGACGGUAAAGAAUCCACCUGAAAUGUGGGAGACCUGGGUUCGAGCCCUAGGUUGGGAA